rnacentral:rRNA from 1 species
GACGAACGCUGGCGGCGUGCUUAACACAUGCAAGUCGAACGGAAAGGCCCUGCUUUUGUGGGCUGCUCGAGUGGCGAACGGGUGAGUAACACGUGAGUAACCUGCCCUUGACUUUGGGAUAACUUCAGGAAACUGGGGCUAAUACCGGAUAGGAGCUCCUGCUGCAUGGUGGGGGUUGGAAAGUUUCGGCGGUUGGGGAUGGACUCGCGGCUUAUCAGCUUGUUGGUGGGGUAGUGGCUUACCAAGGCUUUGACGGGUAGCCGGCAUGAGAGGGUGACCGGCCACAUUGGGACUGAGAUACGGCCCAGACUCCUACGGGAGGCAGCAGUGGGGAAUAUUGCACAAUGGGCGGAAGCCUGAUGCAGCAACGCCGCGUGCGGGAUGACGGCCUUCGGGUUGUGAACCGCUUUCGCCUGUGACGAAGCGUGAGUGACGGUAAUGGGUAAAGAAGCACCGGCUAACUACGUG